rnacentral:rRNA from 1 species
UACGAAGGGGGCUAGCGUUGCUCGGAAUCACUGGGCGUAAAGAGCGUGUAGGCGGCUCGGUAAGCCCGCUGUGAAAGUCCAGGGCUCAACCCUGGAAUGCCGGUGGAAACUGUCGAGCUAGAGUCCGGAAGAGGCGAGUGGAAUUCCUGGUGUAGCGGUGAAAUGCGCAGAUAUCAGGAGGAACACCAAUGGCGAAGGCAGCUCGCUGGGACGGUACUGACGCUGAGACGCGAAAGCGUGGGGAGCAAACAGG